CUUUGCAUUGUUAAAAUAACAGAUAAAGUCUAACUACAAAACAGAAUUUUGAUUUUCCUGAACAUUUCAGCAGCUGUAAGGUUUUAAAACUGUCUUUGAUUAGGGAAAAAGUAAAAACCCAAACUCAAACCUAAAGUAACUUAAUAUGAGCCACAAAAAACAUGCUUAGGUAAUAAUUUGAGGAGUGUAGUCUGAACUAAUAAUCUUUUGAUUCCCAGAAAGAAUAGAUAAAAUCCCCAUUAAGCCAGCAUUUAAAAAAAUCAAAAAACCAACAACUUUAAAAUGGUCACAAUCAUUUUCUGUGAUGCCCCAAGGUAACUUGCUACACACUGGUUAUGCCUACAUGCAGAUAACACAAAUCAAGCACUUCAACGAGCUGGUCAUUUCAAACUUACACAAAAAAUUAAAAAAAAAAUAGGGAAAAAGGUUUUUAAAUACAGAGUCCACAUAAAAAAAUCAGCUUUUACAAUGUAAUUGAGCUUGUGUUUUACAAUCAGCUUUUAACUAAAGGAGUUGAUCUGUUCGAGCCACUCCCUGGCACUUGUCACACCUCUGCACUGGGGGGUUCCUGUGUCUGCUGGCCCCACGCAGAGGUUGGAACAAACACAUGCUGUCAAGUUCAAGGUGUAGAGUUUGCUGUGGACACUGCAAUUCUAACUCUGGUUCUCUGCCAGUUCAUUUGGAAAGUUUGGGCAGGGAAGUAAACCAUCAGCCUGUUGCUACAAGGACACUGCAAAACCAAAGUGAAGUAAGGAUCUGCCAACUGCUUGUUUCCAGCUGCACAGGAACCCUCAUAAGUUAAGGAUAUUGAAAGUAUUAUUACUUUUGUACAUGGCUGAUGAACUCAAAAUACAACUCCUUCCUAUCAUUUCUACAGAUCUUUGGAUAUGACUGUGUUUAGCAAACAGUACCAACGUGCACUAUCAGCUCCCAACAUCUCUGUUCGUCCAAACCUUUAUCAAAUCUUUCACUGAAGAAAGCAGAAGCUGUCCAUGAGAAGUUACAGACUCCAUCUUUGCUAAAUCUAGGUUGCACAGGACCAGAAGUUAUGUAAAACAGCUGGACUGAAAUACAACAUUCUGUUCAGAAGACUGAAUGGCCUGAAGCACAAUUCCAGUGUAUUCUGAUGGGGAUUCCACUUCUCGGGCUCGGUGAUUUAUUGCAUCAGAAGCACCCCAGUGAAGCGCGGCAGGGAGGGGAGUUUUCCAUGGGGCACUUCCGAGGAGCACCAGCAGUGCCUGUCCCGUGCCCACUGGGUGGCACUAGUGACAAGCAGGCCCACGGCACCUCCCUGCUACAGGCAAUUCAGGUACUGCACAGUUCACUUUCUUUUUUCUCUAAAUUCAUCUCUACAAAGUCUUGUGUGAAGCCCCAACUUCCCUGUGCAGGACCACAGCUGUGGCUCUGAAGCCCAGACAACCCUUCAGUAAAGGUCUGAGACAGAAGACCAGGGCUUGAGUUCCUGAGUGAAAGACCUGACCACCAGGCAUGGUCAGCUGUUCUUGCUUCCUGUCUGUCCAAGCCAUCCCACACAUUACCACAGACUGACUUCUUCCAGAAGCCAAGCUGGCCCAUUUAAACAUGGAUAUUCACAUUACUGUGGACAUAGCCUCUUAUUUUUAAAAUGCUAAAUCAAAAGACAGAAUUUAAGAUCCUACAAGUCUUCAAACUCAUUUGUUUAGAGAUAAUACACUGGGCAAACUCCGAAGGCAUCUUAAGAAAAAAAUCAAUUUUGGUACCAAAACAAAGUACUACAGGGAAAAAAAAAAACCCCUAAUUUAGGGUUAGAUGAAACAUACCUGCUCUUGCACUUGUAAUGAAGGCUUCUGUUCUGAAGGCUCUGUGCUUUCUGGCUUUGGAGGAUUUGAAUUCUGUUGCAUUCCAGAACUUGAUACAAUACUUAGGUCAUUAAUCUGAUUCUGAGGAGGGAAAAACAAAGGAAAAAAACCCAAAUACAUGAGUUUCAGUCUACAUUUACCCAUUAUACAUCCUGUUUACAUGACACUUGGGACUGAAAUACAGAUGAUGUACGAAGCACUGAUUUUUGUAAGACACUGUGGAAUUCACAAAUCUUAGGAAAUAAAAAUCAUACCAAGACAUCCAGAAUCAGGUAUGCAGUCACAAAACUUUUAUUCUUUAUUAUUAUAAGAAAAGCAAGAAGAAAAUACAACUGACUUUAUACUUUUUCACCAAGAACAAAAAUGAUACAUUAAAGAAUAGGUGGGCUAAUCACAUCCUGUAUCUGCAUUGGCUGCUAACAGAGAAGUCUGCUACACUUCAUUCAAUCAGGAACCCAAACUACAGCUGCUUAGAAAAAAAAAUCCUGUCAAAAAGUACUCUAAGUGGAUGGAAAGACAGCUUGUCACUGAUUUACUGCCACCAGAUUUAACCAACCAUGUACAUUUAUUUUCAGGCAUUAAUCUGGUUUUCUGUGAACAAGACAAAACCAGGCAAGAGAGCAUUAUAACACAGUAGGUUUCAGAUGGAUUUGAUUUUCAUCUUUAAUAAACACAAAAACCCCAAAUACAGAUAUUCUAUUACUGUUAAAAUCACCAGAAAAACCCAGACUGUAGAAUAAUCCAGCUUUCAAUGGGUAAACUACACCUGAUGCAUAUGAUAGAGCUCAACCAUUGGUACAACACAGGGUGAUUGCUCUGGCAUCUUACCCAAAGCAGUAAAAUAUGGGUUAAACUUUUUAGCAAUGGAUUAAAAAGCAAUCUGAGCUUUAUUCUUUUGUUUUCAAAUUCUAAAUGAAAGCAAUAAAUACAAAAUCAAGCCUAUAUAUUGCCAUUUAAGGACACAGGAGAGAAGCAGACUCUCGCAUCUUUCUGACUUUUAGCCACUAACUUGAAGGUCAAAACUCCUUGUGCCUGAAAGGCUGGAGGCCUUUUAGUUAUAAAAUCAGAAAAGGCAGAGUCUUUUCACUAGAGGAUAAGCUGCAGUAUGUUUCUCUGCUCAAACUGAAAUACAAACACAAAACUACACUAUAAAAGCAUCCAUUCACUCCAUUAAAAAAAAAAAAUCUGAGUUCAUUCAUUUUCACAUAUGGGCUUGAUGUAGUGUGUACUUGAAGGAUUAAGCUGAUUUGGAAUCCUAGAUUAAAGCACUCAGACCUUCAUAAAUCUCUUUUUCACUCCCUCUGCCCCCUUCUCAUGCUGACACUCUGCCAAUCUCAUGUGGGCUGCACACAAGGAUUACUGUAUGAUCCAUCUGGAAUGUACCAGCAGAUAAGUACUUUCUGCUCCUAAAUACAAAUUCAUGCAUAAAUAUCAAGUGCCAUAAAAUUAUUUAAAAAAAAAAUAAGUCAGGAAAGGUAUUUCAAGAAGGCAUCUUCCAAACAAGUUGGUUAUUUCAUCACAUUAACAUUGGCAUACACUGGCUACAAGAGCUCCAAAAUUAAUGUGCCAGGGGUUUGUUGCUAAAGCUGAGUUGGUCAACAGAACAUCUCCAAAGAAGUUUGCUUGAAACAUGACCAACAUUGUUCAGAUCUGCUUUUCUGACAACUGUACAGCACUACAGUCACAGCAGGCUCUUGUGGGAUCACCAUGGACAGGAUCAUUUAUGGUCCAUGCACACACAAAAAGAAAAUGAAGUAAUUAUCCCAGUUUCCCUGGUGUUCCAAAAAUAUCAAGAAACAAACACACACAUAUACAACAAUAAGAAGAAAUAAAGAUACAAACCCCCCAAUUUUAAAGUAGCUCUGCUGUAGCCCAUGCCCUGCCUAUUUCACUGCUGUACUACUGGCACCACAGAUGUUGUCUGUCCAUUAAAAUAUCUUUAUCUGUGCCUGUUCAUCAGAAUUGUACUUGUAUACAGAGCUUCAUCCAUGAUGUUUAGGAACUUUGUUUCUAGCAAAAGCUUUUCAGUACUCUCAUAUGAAGAAGAUCUGAAAAUUAGAAGAGAAGCUGGAAUAUCCCAAGUCAUCCAAAAGCCAUCUGUUGGAAAUGUGCAUUAUCCAACACUGCAAGGACAAGGAGGGAGAAAGGCUUCAUCACACCCAGGAGGGCACUACCAAAGAAGUGCAUUCCUGUGGUAUGGGCUUUUUCCCUUCUUUGCAAAAAGGCUUCAAUUUCUUCAAAUCUGUCUAGACUGAUACACCACUGAAAGAUGAAUCAUAGUGUGAUGUUUCCUUCUGUGAUCUCACAAAAGCUGCCACCUGCACAAUGCUGGCCUUCAUACAGAGACACCUUCUCCCCAAACAGCACUGACACAUAUUUGGAAUUAAUUUUGUUUUCAUCUGUAUUUUAAAGCAUUAAAAGAACAGAGGAGUGAUAUCCAGAAAUGAGUAUCUAGCCUGGGUCAAAGACACUGUAUUGUUUAUCACACUGCCCUGACCUCAAUGUACAUCAGUGACAGGUUAAGUUGGCUCAUACAAGGUUUAAUCCACAUGGUUACUCUCUUCUCCUCAUCCCACACUGUAUUGUAACCAUCCAGAAUCUCACAGACUCAAUUUCAAGUACUGAAAGAAACUCUGCAGCACAAGCAACUCCUGGAAGAAAUCAUACACUGUACAAAUGUGCUCCCUGUUCUCCCAGCAGCACAGGCACAGAAGCCACACCAUGGUUCUGCAAGGCAAUACUCACACAUUGCUUUACUAUGGCACAUUCCUGUAUUAUUACUCGGGGGAAGAGGCGUGUUCAGAAUCUCUGCUUCCAUUUUUGGAUCUCCCACACAUUACCUUUAUAUUCACCCUGCAUGUAUGAAUUUGGUCCUCAUGACUAUAUAAAGUAAUUCUUUCCUAAGAGAACUAACAUUCCUCAUUAUGUAAUCUUGUGGAUUUAGCACUGGCAAAGGAUAACAGGCUUUUCCUUCUGAGAUGAAUUAUUUUAUUAAAGGAAGAAACAGUAGACAGGACACGAGUAAUAAACUCGAGAACAGAAAGACAAAGGAACAGUAUUGUUACACUUAGUCCACAGCUAGUAACAAAUAUGCUUCAUAAAGUCUACAAAUGAACUGAAUGCCUCAGUCUCUAAUACCACAGUUCACCUUUUGAGACUAAGAAGAGACAGAUGCUGUUUGGUAUCAUUUUUAUUUGCUAUUCUCAGAGACAAGAUUUUCUCACAGCAGGAGAAACCAUUAUAAAAUGGGUCCACCCUGCUACACUUCAAGUUGGAUCACAUCAUCAGGAUUCAAUCCAUCUUGCCUGAAAUCACAGAAUGUUUCCUAGUACAGUGUUCCUGAGGGAGGGAACAACACAUCACUCUGAAAACAAGGCUGCUGGAACUAUUGCAGCCACUGCCCACCCUUUAAACAAAGCACAGCUGAUGUGCUAAAAACUCAUUUCCAGAAAAGAGACAUGUACUUACUCGUUCAUAUUCAUCCUUGGCUUUACUAAGCAUCUCUAGGAUGUCAAUGGGCCUGUUUUCAUUGCAGCCAUUGGUCCUGCUGGGACUUUUUCUGUCCUGGGAAACUUGCUGCGACCUCUGAGCUUCUUGUUCAACCACUCUGUAAAAUGGAAAGGAGAAACAGGAUUUAAAAAUUUAACUAGAGUUAACAUCUUGCAAAAAGCAGUAAAGAAAAAAGUACUCCCAGCACAUUAACCCAUUUUUCUGCCUGAAUAAAAGCCUAACAUACAGCUGACCAAAGCUACACAAGUUUUCAUUUGCUACAAGGUUCAAAACAAACUGUCAAAUGAUCUGCACGAUUUAUCUCCCAUUCACAGAGCACUGGUCUGUCUCUCUCAAAGUUUGCCUACAGUAAACAUUACUAAUAUGAAACUCUAAUGUUUGGACAUUUUUACAAUGAGAGAUGUGGACAUCCAAGCAUGUGAUACACAAAAAGCACAUGUUUUACACCAUAGACUAAGAUACAAUUUUCACUCUUUACUUCCUAACAUGCAUUUUUCUAUAUUUAGCCAAGUCAAGUCAUGACAUUCAACAAAAUCUAUUACCAAACAAUUCUAGUUUAGGAUGAGGCCUACCAUUAUGCAAGAGAGACAGGAGGAAAUAAGAGAGCUGGCUCACACCAGAUACCUGGAAUCAGUCUGCAAGAGGACUUAGAGCAAGUCACCCCUCACACCCCCACCUAAGGCCCGGAAAGAACAGCAAACCAUUUCCUCUUCAAGCUGCUCUGCAGCCAUUCCAAUGACCUGCAUUACCUCUGGCCUCUGGUUCAUUCACCACUUCUACUCCACCCCUGCCUCCCUCAAUAAACAAAACCUUCGAUCUGAAGGACAGGUAAGAGAUGCAAGAAGCUGAUGUGUACCUGGUGCUUUCAUUAAUAAAAGUAAAAGCAGCAUAUUCUCCUAAUCCAUAUGCAGUUCACAAAAUAUACAUGGCUGUGCAAUGUGCUGAAGCUUAUCCUCUUGAAAUAAACACACACCAGCCUGUAAUCCCUUCUUUUUUAAGCCUCCAUUAAUCAAAUAUGUUAAGAAAAAACAAGCACUGUAAACAGGGCAGAGCUCUGGAGCUAGCAUGUCACUUGAGAACUCUCAUGCUGUGGAACUGAUGGCUGAGGGGGGAGCCAAGAGGUGCCAUCACAACAAUCACAGAAAGUGCCAAUCAUUCCAGCCUCCAGUUUCUUUGGGUCAGUUAGGAUUCAGGACAAACUCUAGAUUUUAUAGACUAAUUAUUUAUAUGUACAUCUAGGUUUACAUUCCUGAGGAAGAAAUAGUUCAAGUUUUGGAAGUUUCUUCCCAGCUUUCUAGCUACCAAGCUUCUUUACUUCACUAGAGUUUAGCUGAAAAAGGGUUAGAUUUGGCUUUUAAUAAUUCAAUGUUGCUUUCACAAUUUUUCAUCAUACAAGCAGGUUACUUAACCAGCUCCUGAUUACUUCCAGCCUUCUCUGUAAGCAGCAGUCACCUGGCAAGGUAACUCACAAUAGGGAGGCCAAUGUAACCCUGGUAAUUUCUGAGCACUGCAGCAUGUGCUCGUUUGGAUGAAGCAGCUCAAUACUCCACAAGUGUUUCUAUGGUGACACCCUGAGAGAACAUUUUGUUCUAGCAUCUCACGUGGUCACCAGUCCUGGCUUAGGACCUCUCUAAACUCAACUCCAAAACUAAUGAUGAGAAACAGCAAGGUAAGAGAAUCAGAAUACUUUGCUGAGAUGUUAAGUGCCAGCAUAAUUGUAUAAGAAAAAAGAAACUUCAGUUAAAGGGAAGAUUCUGGGCAAAGUGAAAUCACACAUGGUGCCUGGCAGGCAAAGCAAAGGCUUCACUCUUGAGAUUUUCCUUUUGCCUUAAUUAGUUGGCCCAAAAGGUUUCAAUAAAACAUCCUCUUCUGAAAACAGUACUCAUUGAAAUCACAGUGAAACACCUUCAAGGAGUGCAGGCAAUUCACAGAAAUGUUUCAUAAAAAUUCUGAAAAACAGGUCAUAAUAUUUUUCUCUUGUUCAUUAUGAAGUGUUUGUUACCUUUUUAAAGUUUACUUUCUUUUUGAAGGAUAACAAAUUCUCUUCCCGUCUUGUUAAUUGCCUAACAGCUCAAACUCCAUCUUCUGUCUUGUGCAUAUUACAUUUCAAUGGUGUUGACUGAAUAUAAUAUGAAACUGUACCCCCAGAACUUGGAGAUUCUUUCCCAAUUCUAGUCUGCUUCUUGUAUCUCAGAAGCCACUUUAGGUCUGAUUAUUGAAAUAGGGUAAAACAAGCCUACAGUCUAAACUGAAAAUAACUCCCCCUACAAACUGACAGGUCAGAAUGCAAUAGUUUUCUCAAAUAUUUGAAGCCCUCCAGUUUCUGCUCUACUUCUCCUAGAAAGGCCAUCCCUCAAGCAAUCAACUUGACACAAAUUAAUUGUUUCUGAAAUCAGGAGUUUGAUGACUCCCAUGAAAUGUUUUAAUUUCAGAAAAUUCUAGAAUUCUUAAAAAAACUCAAAAAAACUGUAAAUCAAAUACCUAAAUACCCUUCCUGGGGGGGAAAAAGUCAACUACUGCAAAUCUGCACAGUGAACAUGCUCUGUGUGCAAUCCAGAAUUAAAUCUUUUUUUAAGCAAGGCCUGCUGUUUCUUUCCAUUAUAUCAGAUAGUGGAAGAGGCACACAUUCCUUCAGGGACACAGUAGCUGCUGUGGCAGUUUGUUGAAGAAUAUCUGGACUUACAGCAUUCAAAAUAUACCUGGCACAACCUCACAGAAGGGCAGGGGGAGGGAGAGAACGUGAGAAGUGAAGUCUGUGAUUACAAAGCCUAAUUUACUUUUCUUUUCAAAGAUAAGCCACCAAAAUACAAAUGGAUGGCCUCCAAUCUUGUUAACUCACUCUGGCACAAUAAGGUCAAGUUAAAUGCAGGGAAGAGAAUGUAAAUCUCCUUGAAACCUUUUAUGGUUAUGUUUUUAAAGUGCUGAAGUAUUAUAAAGGCAGCACUCUUUCCUAUCAGUGAUUAAGAAAAACCCCACCUUAACAAAAGGGUGCAAAUCCAAAUUUCCACCUCAAAGACAAAAAACUACAGAACAAAAUUAAUACUCUUGAAAGAAAAUGUAAAUAUUGCAAUCCAGCCAAAGGGAUAAAUGUGCUUUAUGGACUGCUGUGCCAUGGCUAGACUGGUCUGUUACCUGAUCACACUUUUUAAGACUCCUGAAGUAUCUGUAGCCCAUCACUUGUGCUACAGUGACCAGACCAGUUCAAAUGGACUCAAGGUUUGCUAUCUGAAGUUAGAUCUGCACUGCAGCUGUGUGUGACAGAAUAAGGUAGAGUUUGACAGGUUCAGCUCUCUCUCUCACUUCAAACAUUAACUAAUGGUUUCAGAUUAGAAGAGAAAGCCAUGUCCCUCUGAUGCUCUGUUUAUAAAGAGGAGAGGCAGUAGCUGUUUAUUUAUUUGUUUUGGUAACAACAUCCAAGAGUCAGUUUCACACAACUGUUUUCCAUUAAUCCUUACAGUUAAUCCUUAGAUACAGACAAACCAAAUAACAGUAAGAAAUCCAACAUAAGUAGGAACAAAAAAGUAAAAGUGGGAAAUGGGGUUAUCAGAAUGAGAAAAAAGAAAAAGAAUUUAGAAAGAGAUCUUGAUACCAGUGUCUGUCAUUUGUGUUUUCUCUCACUGCUUCUGUGUGAAAAUAAUAAUCUGAAAAAAACUACCAAAAUAAUCCACACCAAACCUCCUACACUAAGAAAUCAGAAUUCAGCUUAAAAUAUCUACACUGUGACUAGUUUUCAUAUAAUUAGAUAUUAUAUAUUUUCAUGUAAUUAAAUUGUGCAAAUCUUCAGGAUGGCCUGACUGGCAAGCCCUGACAUGCUGCUGAAGGCAUGCAAGAGAUAAGAGGCUUCAGGGAAGCAGUGUGAUAGCACAGAGGAGCAAAGCUGAGAAUGAGGGAUGAGAAGAUGGCCUGGGUAGUACACCUACACUCUGCAUUUCAGCAAGAGGAACUAUCCAAAAAUCCAGAAAUUAGAAACAUCAAGCUCUUAUUGUUUCACAGUUUUGCUUACACUCCUAAACCCACUAUAAUUCUAGAAAAUUCUACCUAGUUAUCUUACUAGUCUUUAAUCUCUUCACUUCAGUCAGGAAUAACACCUAAGGCUUAUAAAACCCAAACAAACCACAAACUCCAAGAGAAAAACAGCUCACCACAAAACAAGUAAAAAUCCCCAACCAUUGUUUAUUUCAUUACACUCUCUGCAUUAGAAAAUCUUUUGCCAGCACCCCUAUACAAAAUAGAUAUAAAAUAACACACCGUGCACAUAGUUGCUUUCUUUGGAGAAUGCCAACUAAUACUUCAACUCUUUUUUUAAACUAUUCAACUGAAAAUUUUAAUGCUGCAGUUUUGUUUUUUUUUAAACAAACCUGUAAUUUUCAUUAGUUAUAAAAAACUUGUAUGAGCAAGAAUGUUGUAUUCAUCCAUUUUCAGGAGAGGAAAAAACCAGACACACUUAAUCUCUAAAAGGCUUACAGAAUAAUAAGGCCCCAGUACUUACUUAGCCAUGAGUUUUGCUAUUCGAUGACAGUCAUUCUUGUCAUAAAACCAAAUACUGUAAAUUGACACUAGAAAACAAGAAAAAAAAGCAAGUGUAAGACAAAAAAAAAGUAAUUAAAUCAAUAGCAAAAAACCAGGAGUCCAUUAGAUCUGCAACAUACAAAUUUCCAUCAGUUUCCAUUGAAAUACUGUGUGUCACCAGCUACUAUUUAUAAAGUAAUCAAACAGUACAUGUGCAAACAUAAAUACAACUUCAGUCAGAUUAAAUGGAAGAACUAUAGAAUCUUUAUACUGUUUGUAAAUAAAAGUGGCAGGAAAAUGUUUUAACCUUAAGGUGCCUUCUCACUACGGUUGCAACCUCUCCUUUUGAAUUGACUUUAUCAUUAAGGUAGGCCAAGGAAUACCCAUUUAAAAACACUGAUUUUUAAAUUUGUCAAAUUCGAAGACCGACAUUAACAUUUGAAUCAUAGCAUGACAGUUCAGUCAGAGCCUCUCUGGAAGGUUCCCUCUCCAGAAGGAAGCAGUACCAAAGCUCCCACCAAGGUCACAUUCAUACAGCUUAAAACUACACUCACAGUGACCCCUGCUCUUUGAAGGCACCAAGGACAAAGCAAUGAGAGCAGAAGGGUUCCAGCUCAGCAAGACAGCCUCAUCCUGGGUUCAGAAUAAGUAAAAUUCCAUUGCAAGUUUGCAGAGUUGGAGCUUGACCAAUGAGGCUCCAUCAGAGGGAGAGACUUUGUCAGAAGUGCCAUGAGCUGCUCCUUCCCAGCAAUCCUCCCAAGGGCCUUUUCCCCACACAGCAGCUCCUCUCCCCACUGCCCCAGCUCCACCAACACCACAAAGCUCCACAACUCUUUUCAGAAUGAUUCUGAAUCCAGCCCACAAUGCAGAUUACUUUAAAUCUUAGUUCACCUAUGAAGUUUGUCAAUGCAUAAAGUGCUAGAACAUCAAAGGCAAUUGAACACUUACACACGUUGCCAUUAAAGUACUUUAAUUUCUGAAAAAAUGCUUUCAGCCUUUUAAAACUCAUCUUUAUAACUGCAGUUCAUUUCAAUGAUUUUAUGUAGCUGAAAUCACUGAUUAUAAAUACACUUAAAGUGAAGGAAAGGACUGUUUAAAAAAUUACAUAACCGUUUCCUGUUAGAGGUUGAUUUUUAUUUCACAGUGAAAUCCUUUUUCUUUCUUUACUCACUUUUUUUUCCUUCACAAGAUACUCAAAAACCUUAAGCAAAGCCCACACAAAAUAAUGUCAAGCCAGGGCAAAGUGGGCAAUUAUUUACCAAACUAUUUCUGGCCCUUCAACUUAUCCCAGGUGUACUCUGUUGGGCCAAAAUCCUCAAGAAGUCAGGUACACAUCCAAUUUCUAGAAGAAUAUCCUAUGACAAACUGAAAUUCUUGACUUUUCAUUCUUUUAUUAAACAACUGCUGUAUUAAUUUGGGUGUUUGUUUCUUUAGAAGUUCCAGCUUAAGUAAUAGAUAACAAAGCUUUUCAUGUCAUUAACAAAGAAAUCAAUGCACAAAGUACAUAAGCCAAUAAAAAAGCAUUUCACACAUGUAGCCAAUGCUUAUGAAAUGCUUCUAUUAAACUUUGCAGUUUAAUAUAACUGGAUUUUCUGCUGCAUAGAAACCUACAAAGUUUCCAGAUUGCUACAUGACUGAAGAAGUAGCUCAUAUUUUAGCACUGAAGAAAAGACUCCAUUAUCAGACAAACUGCUAAGAGGAGAAAGCUUCUUCAAAAGCAUACUUGCUGAAGAAAUGAAGAUAUGGCACUCAUAAUAACAUUUAAAUGGGACAAAUGAUAAAAGUCACAGUCAAUUCUGCCAGAAACACUCCUAGACAAGUCCACAUGCAGAUCCAAAUCUCAGUUUGGUGUAGAGAAUGAGGCUUUUUUCCACUCUGUACUACUGGCAAGCAAUCACAGGGAGUCACUGCAAAACAAUUUUACACAAUAUCACCAAGAUGCAAAGCAGAUUACAAACAAACUUGGGCAUUAAUGUAGGUACAGUCCAGAGGGUGGAAUGUUCACCUUCCUCUUCCCAAGAGCCCUCCUGUACUGCCAGUUCAGCUCCCUUCCCCAGAAGUGUGUGUCCCAACUGCAUUCCUAUUACUAUUUAAUAUAUGUUUUCCUAUACACUUCCUUCCAUGCAUGCAGCUUCAACUAAGAACAUCCUUAUAGCAGAGUUGGUUCUUACCAGCUCUUUUUAAAUAUUGGAUUUUUUGCUACACCCAGCAUAAAUAUUAGCUGAAUAUUCCUAUGUCUGAUGGCACCUUUCUACUGCAGUUUUGCAAGAGUUUCAUCCAAGAGAAGCUACUGAAUUUUUUCACCCAGCUUUUCUACACUGAAUGCUGGGCAGCAUUCAGUACUUUGUCAUCAGCAGCAGCAAUUCUUCCAGUAGGAUUCACACUGCAUUUUGACACCCCUGGAAUAAUGAGUAACCCACACCACAGACAAAUCAGGUUUCAUAAAACUAAAAGAAGUCAUCCAUUUUCGUAACCUAUGUUCUUCUCUGACAUAUGUAAUUUUUGUUAGAAACACUGACCCAUAAAUAUUUAUCUAAACACAACACUCAACUUCUCUCCAAACUUGUCUGAAUCAAUCCUUAAAACCUGAUUAAAACUGAAAUGGGAAACCAAAGAGCUUUUGAGAGAACAGAAGGAUUAUGGAAGACUUCCUGCUCAAGCCCAACAGCUGAAUAAUACCAAAAGGAAGGUCUUGGACUUUUCUAUAAUCUGGAUUAAGAAUGGGAAGAGCCAAGUGCCACUGUGAGAUAAAAGCCUCAUCCUUGGCAACAUAAAAUAAAGCUGCAUCCCCAAAUUCAGUAGGUUCACCUCAGCUCUCAUUUUGAGUAAGCAGGAAGAAGCAGUGUCUCCACCUCACAUUCCCACAACUUUGUUAACCCAUUGUACCCCAAGGGGCCCCUCUCCCUCAUGUCAACUGGGUACAUUCUAGUCCAGACCAGAUCCUUGAUCCCAUUCCUGCAUCAGCUUCACAAAAGGCCAUUGGAGCAUAAGAGAGCACAAACAAGAAGCUUGGGACACACAGCAAGGGAAAACUUCGAAUGGAACUGUGUGCCAGAGGAAGUGCACAUGGACUCAUCAGCACUGCCAGUGUCAGCAAUUCCAGACACUGUCACUCCCUUCCCCCAGGCAGUUUAGCCAUUUGUACAAAUACAUCCUCAACUCAUUCAAAGAGAUUAUUUGUUUAAAACUUCCCUUAACUAUCUGGAAGAGCUGGUAGAAGGGAGAGAAAAGUUUUAUUUUACAGGUCCAAUCUAGAUGCUGCCAUACAAUGAAGCAGAACUGGAAGUGGAGUUUUUCAAGUUCUUGAAUGAAAAGGACACGUAUUUUGAAACCUCUCCUACAAUGUAACCAUGGAAAACAAUUCCAUCUCCCACAAAGAAAAGCACAUAUAUGCAUCAUUUUACACCUCAAAUAGAGUUUGAGAUAAAAUGACAUAUAACUUUCUCUCUUUAAAGCUCACAUUUCCUCUACUAUCAAUGUCAGCUGAAAUGCCACCUCUCCUCAAUCAGCUCUGUAUCACUGACAUUCUUCAUACUUAUUUUCUACAUGUAGAUAUUAGCCUGUUUUAUAUUAGAUAUAGACUUACAAACCUUUAGAAUGAAUGGGAAAAGUUCCUCCCUUUCCUGUUGUUUUCAAUACCUAAAGGCAUUUCACAAAUACAUCACUCAGCACAAUCCCAGAAGCAGGAGCAUGGAGUAAUCACCCAGGUGCCAAGCAGCACCCAAGCUCAGGGGCACUCUAACUGCCACCUGAUAUUAUAUGGAGGGAGAGGGAUUGCUUCUUUGCAACCUGAACCACAGAAGAAAACCUCUUGUAGUUAGAGUGACACCUUUCAGGUCAAACAAUGUAUUUUUAGAACUUCUUUACAGUUUUCAGUCAUUCCUCCCCUCCCCCAGCUUGCAGUGCUUCUUCUGCUAUGAAGACAUGAAGAAAAGGCUCCUUUCUUAUCUCAGACUAAACCACUGGGUUAAUGUGCUUGCUGGAGAGCCAGGCAGCCUCAGCAAUCACAGAUAUGUUACACUUAAUGGAACAUGUCUGAUAAGAGACUUUCCUUGCCAGCUUUGAAACCAGUCAGGAGCUCUUUGAAACACUUCUAAUGCAACUCAUUUCUCUUUUGCUGUUCAGGAUACAAGUUGUUUUCAUCAAUAAUACAACAAGACCAGAAGACAGCACUUUGUAACUGAGUUUUCUACUUAUAUGUAUAAACCUCUGCAAAAUCUAUUAUUUUUGUAUUACUAACUCUUACCUUGGACAGGAAUAAGAAGCAAGGAAAAAAACCACACCACCACAAACACCCCACACCAAACAAGGACCAUUUAUUUUAAUACCCAACUUUUAUGCUAAACAUCUGUCUUUUCUGUAUCAUGGAAAUCAGCCUGCCUGACCUCCCAAGUGAACUGGAUUGGAUUAAAAACCCUUUUUAUCAAGACCAACACCACCGAUACAAGGGGAAAGUUAUAAAUGAGAAAGGCUCAGAAGAAUCUUUCCUGCAGACUUCAGGAGAAUGCCCAUGGAAGUUUGCUUCAUCCCCCACUCUGCCAAAAAUGGGAGGAUUCCCCCGAAGAGCUGUGAAAAUCAGUAAUUUCCCAUAAAAAUAAAAUGGCAAUUAUCCAGUCUUGGUCUGAGAGUAUGAAAAUGCCUCAGUGCAAUUGGAUAAAGUAUCUCAUGUCUACAGCUUAACAAAGUUCUGAUAGGCAGCAAACCAACAAUGCCUUUGUAUAGUAAGAGUGUUUGAAGAAAUCAAACUACAAAAGAAGAGUAAAACCCCACCCAAGUAUUAUGAUCUAGUAUGACAGGCAAAUCAUUCUUACAGCCUCCAGCCAGGCAAAACCAAUGUUUGUAGAGUGCUUGCAAAGCUCCUCACAUAAGUCAUUAGCAGCUCUGCAGAGAAUGGAGCAGGUCACUCACUGUCCCAGACAGAUCUUGUGCUGCUGAAGGCAGAAAUGCCAGAGGUCUGAUCUGCUGCACAGAACACACUUGGCCUCAUUCUAAGUCAAGACAGAAUCCCAGAACAAAGUGAAAACAUGAAGUUUGUAAAACAGUAGUACCACAUUGAAUAAAAAUAUUGUUGACAUGGAACCUUCCCCAAAUGCAUGGUGACAUAAUUUUGCUUUAAUCAUCGUCUACUGUUUCUACCAUGCCCUGGUGAAGCACUAAUCUCUAUUUUUACUCAUCCUGUUACAGUGUAACUAUAGAGGCACAAAGUACCUAUUUGUCUCUGCCAAACAGCACUAUUAACAUGAUUUUAGGUUUUUACUGGAUAGUCUGAGCCAUCACCCAUUUGUAAGCUAAGGAAACAGAAUCAGCAGUUCAAUCACUCAUAAAGGGUUUCUAAUGAUGACAGAUUUCUUCAAGGACACAGUAAAAGCCACCCUACAAGACACAGGGUUGUGUAAGAGGAAGCUUUUCCUUACACAAACUAGCAGACCAUCUUCUCUCGGUCAUUAAGGGAUCUCAGAAGAAGUUCACCUUAAGCCAUUAGAGACACAUGACAUUAAGCCCUUGGAAAUAGACAUUAUAGCAACCACUGGCUUAAACCUCUGAUUUGAAUUAGUUCCAAAAAUGCAAGGGUUUUUCAUGCCAGCAGGCAAGUGAGCGGAAGUGGAGAUCCUUCCGCAUGAAUCCCCUGAUCCACCCAGACAAACAAAACACACACGUGUUGAAAUCUGUCUGCAAAUCCAAAUUUGCCUGCAAAUUCACAAAUACUGUGCAAAUGGAGGCUAACAGCUUUUCACACAAUUAAACCAUAUAAUUUGCUUUCUAACUCUUUCAGAGGACAGAAAAUUUAGAAAACCUUAUGUAAGGAAAAUAAUCCAAAACAAAAUGCUUAAUGCAAAAUGUAAGGGAGUAAGUGAUGUGGAAAUUAUAAGGAAUAAAAAGCUUAGAUGCCAUUUUCAAUGCUUUUAAGCUUGGAUUUGAACAAAGUGAACACUCUCAGAGGGCAUGAAAACUCAUCUGCAGUUUAUUUUUUGUGGCACCUGAGAAAAUAACUCAUGACAUUGGACAUCUUCCAUCUGCAAUCACUGGAGACAGGAUGGGGUAAUGAGAGAAAGGGUAGUUUCUGACCAAGUAUUUUAACAUGUCAGGGGCAAAGAAAUAAGAGGAAAAAAAUACUCCUGAUUACUUCCCACAUCCAGUCUGUAUGCUUUUCCUUGCUGACCUUUGUAUGAUUUCCUCCCUUCCUUGUGCCAUUCUGUCAUCUCUAUCCUAAACCCAUGAGACUCCCACAGAUCUUACACUUGUGUCCCACGGGAAAAGGAGAGCUUUUAUCAAGGAAAACAAUUGGCUUCAGGGGUUUCUAAUGAACUCACAACAGCCUAUACCUACUCUGAUUACAACUACCUGAAAGGAGGUUGUAGCAGGGUGGUGCUCGGUCUCUUCUCCCAAUUAAGAAGUAAUGGGACAAGAGUAAAUGGCCUCAAUUUGUGCCACUGGAGGUUUAGAUUGGGUAUUAGGAAAAGUUUCUUCGUGAAGGGCUGUCAAGCCCUGGAACAGUGCCCAGGGCAGUGGUGGAGCCACCAUCCCUGGAGGUAUUUAAAGGAUGUGUGGAUGUGGCACUGAGGGAUGUGGGCGCAGUGCUGGGUUAAUGGUUUGGUGUGAUGAUCUUAAAGGUAUUUUCCAACCUAAAUGAUUCUGUGAUUCUUUCUCUGAAUGAUCCUCUAGUCACUGUCAGACACCAUGGUGAUUCCACAGCAGCUCCUGUUUCCUUCUACCAUCAGCAGUCCCAACAAAUGAAUCAACUUCUUGCUUCCCUUAUGUCACCAACCUCAGAGCUGCAAUUCUUUCCUGACACCUUAAGGUCCAUCUAAUCCCUACUGCCUCCUCUGCUUUGCAAACCAAGCAAUCUGCUUAAACACCCAACUCAACACAGUAUUUUUCCCAGCCUGUUGCCAGUCACUUCCCUAACCUCCUAGACUUUUGAACUUGCUGAUCAGUUUUGACUUUUUCCUCUUCAUGACACUUAUGGAAGGAAGAUUGCUAAGAUUAUGAAACAGAGGAGACCAUCUGCCUUGGGCUGUUCUUUGCCACCAGGAGGGAAUCUAUCCUGCUUCUUACAGAUCCCAGAGGUCUUCCAUGGGGAAAAAAGGAAGGGAUUAACAUUUGACUGGUCUAUUAGGUACCCCAAAGUACAGCCAAAGCAGUGUCCCCAUCAAGGGGACAUUCUGAUGGAGGAGGGAAAUAGGUUUAAUCUAAACCUAGCAGAAAAUGAAUUAAAGACCAGACCAAUAUUGCACUUUGGUAGUAUAUUUGCUUUUUACUGAAAGCAGGCAGUGAUGAUCAUAUAAUAGAACAGAUAUUUAAGUAAACAUAGCAUUGAGACAGAAAACAUCAUCAGAUAUUUCACUGGAACCUGCCCCAUUACGUUUGAAACAGACAUCACAGUCAUCAGAAGUGAUCUAGGUUAUAAAACUGAAACUGAAGUUUAUUUGGAUUAGAGAAAGUUAUACUCACAGCUGGC